rnacentral:rRNA from 1 species
UACGAAGGGGGCUAGCGUUGUUCGGAAUUACUGGGCGUAAAGCGCGCGCAGGCGGUCUUCCAAGUCAGUGGUGAAAGCCCGGAGCUCAACUCCGGAACUGCCAUUGAAACUGUAAGACUUGAGGACGAGAGAGGUGAGUGGAAUUCCCAGUGUAGAGGUGAAAUUCGUAGAUAUUGGGAAGAACACCGGUGGCGAAGGCGGCUCACUGGACUGGUAUUGACGCUGAGGUGCGAAAGCGUGGGGAGCAAACAGG